rnacentral:rRNA from 1 species
CACGUAGGGCGCAAGCGUUGUCCGGAAUUAUUGGGCGUAAAGAGCUCGUAGGCGGUUUGUCGCGUCUGCUGUGAAAACUCGGGGCUUAACUCCGGGCCUGCAGUGGGUACGGGCAGACUAGAGUGCGGUAGGGGAGACUGGAAUUCCUGGUGUAGCGGUGAAAUGCGUAGAGAUCCGGAGGAACACCAGCGGCGAAGGCGGCGUCCUGGACUGGUACUGACGCUCAGGCGCGAAAGCUAGGGGAGCAAACGGG